UGUUUGGUGUACAGAAACGUUCAAUUUUGAAUUUUUGUUUAGUGCAUCGAUGCAAAUGUUUGAUUUGAAAAGUGGAUUUCAUUGAAGGUGCAACAACGCAACUGAUAAUAUUUCAUUUGUGGUUAAAAAAGAUCAAAUCAAUCGAAAUGGGAAAAGGACGAAAAACAAGCAUUCCAGAUCAGAUCCAGAAUGAAAGCAUUCAACUACAUGGCGAAAUGUAUAGUUUUACAACAGACGAACUGGCAAUCAUACUGUCGCGCUUAACUGAAUUGGGCCAUCGAUACGGUGUUAUUACUGCGUCAGAGAUUCAAACGUUAUUGCCUGUCAGUGGCGAAGGAUGGUCGGCAUGGGAAAGAUUUUUGGAACGCAUUGAAGAAUUUGCACGCGCCAAAUAUCCAAACCGACGCUGAAAACACUCAACCAUAAAUAAUAAACAAACUCAUUAUCACUUCGUAUUAGCUGUCAUUAAUCAUAAAAUAAAGUAAUUGGAUUAGGUUUCAUUUAAAUAAACAAAACCAUCAUCUUUGUUAUCAAAUUGAACUGUAUAGAGAGGGGUAAUCAAGGCAAGCAAUGCCACCGUUGCACACUUUACCUGGGUUUCCAUGCGUUUUUCAGUUUUAUCUAUGGCUUCAGUGAAAGAGAAAAAAAUCAAGCAUCAUGGAAGAGAGCAUGUAUUGACAUUCCAUAAGUUUUUUCUAUAGUUGAACUAUUGUCAUUUAUGGGAACAAAAAUUACCGAAUGAAAAACAAACAUAUACUACAUGUGCAAACUGUGAGAUGAACAGCAAAGGUUAUAAGAAGUGGUACUUUACAAUAGUACAAAGGAUUUUGUACUUUGGAACCAUGCCUGGGAUUUUUUUUUAUCUUCAAGUACUUUUACCUCCAAGACGGGACUUUUUUUAC